rnacentral:rRNA from 1 species
GGUAGGAUUACCCGCUGAACUUAAGCAUAUCAAUAAGCGGAGGAA